CAUGCUGUGAGCUCGAUGAGUAGGGCGGGACACGUGGUAUCCUGUCUGAAUAUGGGGGGACCAUCCUCCAAGGCUAAAUACUCCUGACUGACCGAUAGUGAACCAGUACCGUGAGGGAAAGGCGAAAAGAACCCCGGCGAGGGGAGUGAAAAAGAACCUGAAACCGUGUACGUACAAGCAGUGGGAGCACGCUUAGGCGUGUGACUGCGUACCUUUUGUAUAAUGGGUCAGCGACUUAUAUUCUGUAGCAAGGUUAACCGAAUAGGGGAGCCGAAGGGAAACCGAGUCUUAACUGGGCGUUAAGUUGCAGGGUAUAGACCCGAAACCCGGUGAUCUAGCCAUGGGCAGGUUGAAGGUUGGGUAACACUAACUGGAGGACCGAACCGACUAAUGUUGAAAAAUUAGCGGAUGACUUGUGGCUGGGGGUGAAAGGCCAAUCAAACCGGGAGAUAGCUGGUUCUCCCCGAAAGCU
rnacentral:rRNA from 1 species